rnacentral:lncRNA from 1 species
UGUGUGUGUGUGUGUGUGUGUGUGUGUGUGUGUGUGUGUUUGGGGUUUAUCACCGUGCUGGAGCGCCUAGAAGUGCGGCCACGUGGAUUUAGGUAUUCGCGUCCACCUCAGAGCCUGCUCCCUCUGAAGUCUUCUGUAUUCUUCUAACAACCCUAGAAAUUCUUCAACCCGGAGCUGUGUACUCAACAGGCAGACAGCUCAGCCUGUGUAUGUUGUCUAAGUGUCUGGAAUGUACACCUGGUUCCUCUCCACUGGCACCCACAAUUUAAGAAAGUAAAUAGACGCUUUCAAGGAGGAACAUGCCUCGCAGACUUGGAGGGAGUGGUGAAAGAUGAACGGGCUCAGCCACAAGGGGAGAAGAACGUCACCCAGCCCCUAGAAUAGCAACAGCAAUAAAUAUGGUCAUGUCGCUCUUCUGCUGAGGCCA